CCUAUGCGCCUCAACUUUUAAUGGUAAUAAACACAAGCUGACCGCGGUGACAUUAACGUCCCAGCUGAGGUUCUCAAAAUAUUAACAGUUCCUCAAUAACACCAGUCAGCGACUUCACAUCGUUACUCAAGACAGCUUCUGUGAAAGCUUUUCUUCAGACGAGCCACGAAAUCUUUCUUCCCUGCGGGUCCUUCUCAAGCCUGACAGCCCACGUGAUUUUUUUCAGUAUCCUUCAAUCUGUUGGCAGUUAUGCGUUCGAGUGCUUUUUAUGAUACGAGUGGUUCAGUUUAUCAGUGGUUCGGAUCAUGUGAACUUAUGACCUUUCAGAAAGAAACAACAACAGCAAAAAAAACAGCUAUUAUUGUGAUUUGAAUUGAACAACGACUUCAAAAACGGUCGAUACAAAUAAACGAGAUA